rnacentral:rRNA from 1 species
GACGAACGCUGGCGGCGUGCUUAACACAUGCAAGUCGAACGGAAGGGCCCUGCUUUUGUGGGGUGCUCGAGUGGCGAACGGGUGAGUAACACGUGAGUAACCUGCCCUUGACUUUGGGAUAACUUCAGGAAACUGGGGCUAAUACCGGAUAGGAGCUCCUGCUGCAUGGUGGGGGUUGGAAAGUUUCGGCGGUUGGGGAUGGACUCGCGGCUUAUCAGCUUGUUGGUGGGGUAGUGGCUUACCAAGGCUUUGACGGGUAGCCGGCCUGAGAGGGUGACCGGCCACAUUGGGACUGAGAUACGGCCCAGACUCCUACGGGAGGCAGCAGUGGGGAAUAUUGCACAAUGGGCGGAAGCCGGAUGCAGCAACGCCGCGUGCGGGAUGACGGCCUUCGGGUUGUAAACCGCUUUCGCCUGUGACGAAGCGUGAGUGACGGUAAUGGGUAAAGAAGCACCGGCUAACUACGU